AAUAAACGCUGGCGGCGUGCCUAACACAUGCAAGUCGAGCGAGAAAGUCCUUCGGGACAAGUACAGCGGCGAACGGGUGAGUAACGCGUAAGAAUCUACCGUUGAGUGGAGAAUACCCACGAGAAAUCGUGGUUAAUACUGCAUACGUCCCUUCGGGGAGAAAGAUGGCCUCUUUGCUAUCGCUCAAUGAGGAGCUUGCGUACUAUUAGCUAGUUGGUAGGGUAAAGGCCUACCAAGGCGAUGAUGGUUAGCCGGCCUGAGAGGGUGUUC
rnacentral:rRNA from 1 species